GAACGAAAUGUCGUGCCUCACGGGACCACGGUGCUACAUAAAUACAGACAUACAACAAUGAAGUAAAACAUUAAAAUCCAGAUCGGGAG